UGGAGGACUGAGAAAGUUGCACAGCUUGUGUUGUGCUGUUGUAACUGGUUAUAACCUCCAAGAGUAAUGAACAAACCACUUGAUUGAGUCACUCUGUGCGACGCAGAGCUGAUAUGUGUGUUUG